rnacentral:rRNA from 1 species
AGCGAACGCUGGCGGCAGGCCUAACACAUGCAAGUCGAACGAACCUUUCGGGGUUAGUGGCGGACGGGGGAGUAACACGUGGGAACGUGCCUUUAGGUUCGGAAUAACUCAGGGAAACUUGUGCUAAUACCGAAUGUGCCCUUCGGGGGAAAGAUUUAUCGCCUUUAGAGCGGCCCGCGUCUGAUUAGCUAGUUGGUUGAGGUAAUGGCUCACCAAGGCGACGAUCAGUAGCUGGUCUGAGAGGAUGAUCAGCCACAUUGGGACUGAGACACGGCCCAAACUCCUACGGGAGGCAGCAGUGGGGAAUCUUGCGCAAUGGGCGAAAGGCUGACGCAGCCAUGCCGCGUGAAUGAUGAAAGUCUUAGGAUUGUAAAAUUCUUUCACCGGGGACGAUAAUGACGGUACCCGGAGAAGAAGCCCCGGCUAACUUCGUG